GACGUAGGGCGCGAGCGUUGUCCGGAUUUAUUGGGCGUAAAGAGCUCGUAGGCGGCUCGUUGCGUCGGCUGUGAAAACCCGCAGCUCAACUGUGGGCUUGCAGCUGAUACGGGCGGGCUGGAGUUCGGUAGGGGAGACUGGAAUUCCUGGUGUAGCGGUGAAAUGCGCAGAUAUCAGGAGGAACACCGGUGGCGAAGGCGGGUCUCUGGGCCGAUACUGACGCUGAGACGCGAAAGCGUGGGGAGCAAACAGG
rnacentral:rRNA from 1 species